CACACACGAAAAGAAAAUAAAAAGCCAAAUUCCUGAGAUAGCUUAAGCAUAAAAGGAAAAUGCUCCCUUAAAUUUGAAAACAAAAAUUAAAAGAAAGUGUAAAUUCAUAAGCUAGGCAUGGGAGUACAGGCUCUAAUGCCAGCAUUCCAGAGGCUGCGGGAGUGGGAGGUAGUAGGCUACAUAUCAAGACCUUGUUUCAAAAAAGGGGGGAAAAAAUCUGAUAGGAGUUGAUUAUAAUGCAAUCAACAAGUAAUUUUAUUAUUUCUUUGGCAUACAAUAUUUCAAUGUAAUAACCAGGAAAAAGUAUGACUCAAUAUUAUAUCAGGAUUUUACAACAAAUAUAACUUAGAGGUUUAGCAUCAUUUAUUAUAAGACAUUACUCCCAUAUAAAUCAACUUUUAAAACAAGCCUGAUUAUUUUAAUACCACUCCGAAAGUGAGGACUGGGCUGGGUGAGGGGUAGCUCGGUGGAGCAUUUGUUUAGUAGCUAAAGCAGGAAGCCCUGGGUUAAAUUCCAAGACCAAGGAAAAAACCAACCAGCCAACAAGAAAAUGGAAAAAAGG